rnacentral:rRNA from 1 species
AACGAACGCUGGCGGCAUGCCUAACACAUGCAAGUCGAACGAUGCCUUCGGGUCUAGUGGCGCACGGGUGCGUAACGCGUGGGAAUCUGCCCUUGGGUUCGGAAUAACAGUUGGAAACGACUGCUAAUACCGGAUGAUGACGUAAGUCCAAAGAUUUAUCGCCCAGGGAUGAGCCCGCGUAGGAUUAGCUAGUUGGUGGGGUAAAGGCCUACCAAGGCGACGAUCCUUAGCUGGUCUGAGAGGAUGAUCAGCCACACUGGGACUGAGACACGGCCCAGACUCAUACGGGAGGCAGCAGGGGGGAAUAUUGGACAAUGGGCGAAAGCCUGAUCCAGCAAUGCCGCGUGAGUGAUGAAGGCCUUAGGGUUGUAAAGCUCUUUUACCCGGGAUGAUAAUGACAGUACCGGGAGAAUAAGCCCCGGCUAACUCCGUG